GGUAGGUUGCCCGAGCGGCCGAAGGGAACGGUCUUGAAAACCGUCGUGGCAGCGAUGUCACCGUGGGUUCAAAUCCCACCGCCUCCG
rnacentral:tRNA from 1 species